rnacentral:lncRNA from 1 species
AUUUUCCCUGCCCUGGUGCGGAAGCAAAAUAGGCCAUAGGGCCUGCAUGACUCAUUGUUUGGGGACCUGACUCAGGCAAGACUACACUGAGUUCACUGGCCUCACAGGUCACUGAUUUUGCUCUGCCAAUGGGGAAAGCCCCGGGAUGUGCUCUCUAUUCAGUUGCCUCUGUAAGCGGUGUUGGAUGAGAUAUGCAGCCCCAGUGUGAUCUGGUUAGGCUCCUAGUUGGGGCAGCUGAAGGCUAUAUUCAGCAGUGGGUGGGGCUAUGAAUUAGUUUCCCUGCCCAGGUGGAGUGGAGGAACCAGCUUCAAGCUCAGCAAGGCUCUUUGUUUGUGGUCUUGACGCAAGCCAACACACUCCGCAAUUUCCCUGGCUGAACAGUCUACUGGCUUCACUCUGCAGAUGAUCAACUCUGUCUACAGGACUCUGUGCUUGAGCAUUGCUGGGCCUUGUGGCUUCCAGAUCUACCUGCCUACAAAUAUCUGAAUGCAAAGAGAGUAGAUCUUUCUCUCAAUCAUCAGAAGAGGAUGUCUAGAAUCUCAUCUUGACUGGCAAUAUCUUAGAGGAAUAUUUUUUCCCCUCCUAGUUAAACAGAAAGACACUAAAUCAGAAUGCUUUGCAUAUCUUCAGAUUUUCAAGAGGUCCUUCCAAACUGGUGGCAUCUUGGUUUGGGGUUUUCAAUAUCUACUCUGCUGGAAGCUAACGUGAGGAUACCAAGUUAUUGUUAAUUUUAGUAACCAAACAAACCACUUACUAAUUCUUUGUUCCAUAAGCCUCGGUGUGUAAAACACUAGACAGAACCUGGUCCAUCUUCCCUUUCUAUGAGAAACGUUUUAGAAGGCCUAGUGCUCUCUGCAGUAAGUGAACCCCUGCUAAAGAAAGCAGGAUUACCUAACAAUAAAGAAGUAAGUCUCCUAAUAAAAAGGAAAGAUCCCUCAAAGCCUAGAACUUAAGUCCGGCUGCUGUAAAGGAUGAAACCAAAGAUCUUUUUUGCUUUUCUUCCAAUUGGCUUAAAAAAUUAGCCUAGGAGAAAGUGGUCAAGAUUGAAUUCAGAAAGAAUAUUUCAGAAGGAAAUAUGGAUUCAUAAAGAGAUAUGAAUUUGGAUAGAAUACUUCAGACACAAAAUUAGGGUAUACAAUUUAUGACACAACAGGAACUAGGCAAAGCAUAGGAAUUUAAGGAAGAACAUCUUUUAAUCGUUGAAACCAGUCUUUCUGAGAUGACCAUGAAAGCAAGAAAUAUUACAACAAAUAACUAUUAAUGCACAUUUUCCUCUUUGUAAUCUUCAUACAAUAAU